GGGAGAGAGAGCCUGGCCGCCGCGGCGGCCGACUCGGCGACGAAUCGGCUGUCCAACGCGACCUAUCCCUCGAGGAUCGGUCGCGCCCGCGAGGAAAGUCCCCCCACCGUUCGGGCGGGUGACCGGAUGCAAAUCCGGAGCGGGAGACCGCUGGCUCUGGAACAGAAACGACACGUCUCGGCCCGACCGAUGAUGCGUGCGAACCCGACCGAGAGGAAGGGGAGCGAACCCGCAGAGGGUUAGACAGCUGUCAGAUGCGAUUCGAAAUCGCGGGUCGCUCGAUGCGACCGGCUGUCGACGGCCGAGGAUCGAUGGAACGGCGAAUCCUCACCGGUGCAAGUUCGCGCCGCAGGUAGCCCGAACAUACCGCGAUAGCGGGCGGCGCGAGCGCUCAGCCGAAUGCCGGGAUGAACAGAAGGGGGCUUAUUCCUCUCACCC
rnacentral:RNase_P_RNA from 2 species